rnacentral:rRNA from 1 species
GACGAACGCUGGCGGCGUGCUUAACACAUGCAAGUCGAGCGGUAAGGCCCUUUCGGGGGUACACGAGCGGCGAACGGGUGAGUAACACGUGGGUGACCUGCCCUCAGCUCUGGGAUAAGCCUGGGAAACCGGGUCUAAUACUGGAUAUGACUCCAUGACGCAUGUUGUGGGGUGGAAAGCCUUGUGCGGCUGAGGAUGGGCCCGCGGCCUAUCAGCUUGUUGGUGGGGUGANGGCCUACCAAGGCGACGACGGGUAGCCGGCCUGAGAGGGCGACCGGCCACACUGGGACUGAGACACGGCCCAGACUCCUACGGGAGGCAGCAGUGGGGAAUCUUGCGCAAUGGGCGCAAGCCUGACGAAGCAACGCCGCGUAGAGGAUGGAGGCCCUCGCGGUCGUAAACUCUUGUCUAGCGGGACGAAACCUCCAUAAGUGAAUAACUUANGGAAUUGACUGUACCGCUGGAGGAAGCUCCGGCCAACUCCGUGCCAG